CUCCUCUCUGAUGAAGGACAAACAGGUUUCUGUUCCACUGGUAUUCCACAGCUCCUCAGCUGAAGUCUCCCUUCACCACCAAGAGAAAAUCUCUCACCCCUACUCACCAGCAAGUUGGUUCCCCACUGCAGGAAAACACACUCUGCCCAGGUCCCAGGCACCUGGCCAACCCAACAGCGGUGAUGACCCCGUCACAGAAGAGGGAAGUAUUAGCAACACCCAGAGCACUAUCCACAAAAUCAAGGAGUUACAAAUCCUAAGUGGGAACUUGUAUCACAGCUCUGCUGGUGGAUAGUGAGACCCAGAACCCCUCUGUAGCCAGGGGUACACCCAUGGUCAUCUGCUUCCUCUGAGGGCUAAGUGAAUGACUCAAAUUCUUUUAUGUGAUUUUUGAGUCUAUAUUAUGAACAUUAUAUUGAUAUAGCAAACCAUAUAUUAAGAUAUGACCAGAUCUGUAAAGAGUCCAGAUGAUCAGAAACCACAGACUAAGAGAUACUGUAAAAUUCUGUUCUCUGCUACUUAUAAAUUGUACUACACUGAUUAUGCCUACAGAAAUCCUGUGCUACUCUGAUUGUAAAUGCCACACUAGCAAUAAAAUCCUGUUAAGAAUAUAACACA